GAACUAGACAGGGUCCUUGGAGCUGUGAGCUCAGCUACUAGCUCUUUAGAACCAUGUAUCUCCUGACUGCUUAAAGUGGCCUGAGCGAUGUCAUAUGCCUACAAAAGUACCAGGACUGUGCGCCACUUUAUAUUCAAUGACGAAAAAGUGCUUCAGAGACUGAAUACAGAGACUGAAAUUGUGAAUUAAUGGAAGUUUUCUGCUUACAACGUUUGGGACUGAAGUAUUGCCAGCCAAAGACUAUUACAGGUUGGUGGAAGAGCUCUCUCCAGGCCGGAGAGUUGAAAGGGACAUUGGGGGCACAGUUGGUGAUAAUAAAGGGACUUAUAUCGGUUCUCUGACUGUGUUGCCUUUGUGUCACGCCCUGGGUCAUCACAUAGUGCCUCUGCUCAGGUUACAGCAUACAGAAUACAGCAAUCAAAGUACUGGACCCAAUUUAAAAUUCUGGCCAUUAACUAAAAAAUCCUAUGUAUCAGGAUUUUGAAUUACCUUACAGAUUGCUUUAUACUUAAUUGCAGCCAUACACCUUUCCCAACAAAAGACUAUUGUUCUUCCAACAGGCUAUGGCUCUCCACCCUUCUAA